rnacentral:rRNA from 1 species
CGAUGAACCACUUCGGUGGGGAUUAGUGGCGAACGGGUGAGUAACACGUGGGCAAUCUGCCCUGCACUCUGGGACAAGCCCUGGAAACGGGGUCUAAUACCGGAUACUGACCACUACAGGCAUCUGUGGUGUUCGAAAGCUCCGGCGGUGCAGGAUGAGCCCGCGGCCUAUCAGCUUGUUGGUGAGGUAACGGCUCACCAAGGCGACGACGGGUAGCCGGCCUGAGAGGGCGACCGGCCACACUGGGACUGAGACACGGCCCAGACUCCUACGGGAGGCAGCAGUGGGGAAUAUUGCACAAUGGGCGCAAGCCUGAUGCAGCGACGCCGCGUGAGGGAUGACGGCCUUCGGGUUGUAAACCUCUUUCAGCAGGGAAGAAGCGAAAGUGACGGUACCUGCAGAAGAAGCGCCGGCUAACUACGUGCCAGCAGCCGCGGUAAUACGUAGGGCGCGAGCGUUGUCCGGAAUUAUUGGGCGUAAAGAGCUCGUAGGCGGCUUGUCGCGUCGGUUGUGAAAGCCCGGGGCUUAACCCCGGGUCUGCAGUCGAUACGGGCAGGCUAGAGUUCGGUAGGGGAGAUCGGAAUUCCUGGUGUAGCGGUGAAAUGCGCAGAUAUCAGGAGGAACACCGGUGGCGAAGGCGGAUCUCUGGGCCGAUACUGACGCUGAGGAGCGAAAGCGUGGGGAGCGAACAGGAUUAGAUACCCUGGUAGUCCACGCCGUAAACGGUGGGCACUAGGUGUGGGCAACAUUCCACGUUGUCCGUGCCGCAGCUAACGCAUUAAGUGCCCCGCCUGGGGAGUAC